AAUCUCAAUCGUGAAUUAAACCGCCCGCGCAAAUCUGGACACAGAAAACUCAAUUGAAAUACUCUAUUGUAUGUAAAACAUUUCACAAUAAGCGACUAGAUAAAUUGCCAUGCUACGUCUAAUUGGAUUUUAUUUUGAUUUGUCAUAAUGUUCUCCUUUAUCUGGAAGUGUCUGAUAAAUACCAUUUGGGUCAAGAAUAUUUAGACAGUUGUUUUUUCCUUUUUAAUUAAAAGCACUUGAGAGUCCAUUGGAAGCCGGCAGCCAUGGUGGUUUAAACAGUUACUUUUCUAUGUGUUUUUGUAUGUGGCGAACGCAAAAGUACAUUGCGCGACAAAAUUGAUGAAGCAUAUUCGUAUAAUUUAUUCUGCUGUGUGGUAAGGACUGGUAAGUGUAGCUGCGUUUUGUUGGCUUGUGUAACAGCCAGGGGCUAAGAGUAGAUAACCUGUAACGCUUGAGCGCCUGAACUUGCAGCUGAUGAUAAGGAGACUUUCCAGUCCCAACAUCAACACUGCUCACGGCUGUGUCUCCCUGCUGUGCGAACUACUCGAGUACGCAGUUCAAGCUGUGUACUCGAAUGCUCUUCAAUUACUACAGUUAACAAUUAUCGCUUGUCAGCCAAUUUUGUUUCUUUGCUCAAGCAGUUUGGCAAACAACAGUUAUCUACAGAUAGACAGCUAUAAAACCGUUACUGCGGGGUGGACAGCACGCAUUGCCUGCAUUACUCUAGUUAAAGUAUGUUUGGCAUGAGGAACGUUCCAUUGCUGCUGCUGCUGUUGAUGCAGUUGCUCCGCGCUGGCUCUGCACUUGAUAAUGGACUGGCUUUAACGCCACCCAUGGGUUGGAUGUCUUGGCAGCGCUUUCGAUGCAUCACCGAUUGUGAUACGUAUCCAGAUGAGUGCAUAAGG